UGAGGUUUCGGGUUCCAUCCCUGGCCUUGCUCAAUGGAUUAAGGAUCCGGCGUUGCCAUGAGCAGUGGUGUAGGCCAGCAGCUGUAGCUCUGAUUAGACCCCUAGCCUGGGAACCUCCAUAUGCCACAAGUGUGGCCCUAAAAAAAGGGCAAAAAAAAAAAAUGAAGACUAGUUCUUUACUAGUGAACCCAAUUAAACUGUGGGUUUGGGUUUUUUUGUUGUUGUUGUUGUUUUUUUGUUUGUUUGAGAAAUCUACCCUCCUCACCAAAUAGAAGAUAUGUGUCUUAAGAAAAUAAUUUACAUUAUCCUUUGAAAGGUUUUAUUUUAAUGCAAGUUAUUUUUAUCAAAUUGUCCCUUUCGUGGAUUAGCGAUUGCUUCCCUUCCAAAAACUAAAGAGGAGUUAUUCUUGCAUUUUUUUUUUAUGUCUCCAACUCAGAAACUUUAGAAUUUUCUAUAACCUUUCAAAAUGAAAAUUAAAAUGUUUCCAGAGGGAAAAGCAUUAAAAUAUGACACAUAGCUGUCUUAAAUGUGGUUUCCCUUCCUGCAGAUAAACUCGUUUUGUCUAGACAUAGGUUUUUCCAUAUUCACUCUAAGCAGCUGUGACUAGCUAUCUUAAUUUGAAAAAGCUUCACGCAUCGACCUUGCUACAAUUACAUAUUACUUUUAAUUUUGCUCAUUACAAAAACAUGAGACCACUUUGUAAUUAUAUUUUUUCAUUUACGAGAAUGUAGACCCCUGAGUUCUGAUAGCUGGUUUGCUAGUCGUUUUUCAGCUCUGGCUUUUAAUUCUAGAUUUAUUUAAAUGUAUUAUUCUCUGGACCUAGUGGAAUAUCUAUUGGAGUAGAGCUCACCAUUUUGUGACUCUUAAGUUCUUUCAUCUCUCUGUGACUUUUCAUGCUCCUAAUAACCCUGUGAAAUGACUUGUUGCCUAGUCCCAGGGAGAAGGUGAUAAACUAGUUGCCAUGGUGGACAUGGAGUAGACUUUCUGAUUCUCUUUUACCUUCAUGUUCUUGACCCCAAAUGAGAUUGUGUAAGUAAAGCCUAUGAAACAAAAAAGGGAGUGAGCUGGAGUUCCCAUUGUGGCUCAGUGGUAUUGAACCCAACUAGUAUCCUUGAGAACACGGGUUUGAUCCCUGGCCUUGCUCUGUGGGUUAAGAUUCCUGUGACCUGUGGUGUAGGUUAAAGAUGCGGCUCGGAUCCUGCGUUGCUAUGGCUGUGGUGUAGGUGGGCAGCUGCAGCUCUGAUUCAACCCCUAGCCUGGAAAUUUCCACAU
rnacentral:lncRNA from 1 species